CCUGGCUCAGGACGAACGCUGGCGGCGCGCCUAACACAUGCAAGUCGAACGGAGCUGAGAGGAGCUUGCUUUUCUUAGCUUAGUGGCGAACGGGUGAGUAACGCGUGAGUAACCUGCCCUGGAGUGGGGGACAACAGUUGGAAACGACUGCUAAUACCGCAUAAGCCCACGGAUCCGCAUGGAUCUGCGGGAAAAGGAUUUAUUCGCUUCAGGAUGGACUCGCGUCCAAUUAGCUAGUUGGUGAGGUAACGGCCCACCAAGGCGACGAUUGGUAGCCGGACUGAGAGGUUGAACGGCCACAUUGGGACUGAGACACGGCCCAGACUCCUACGGGAGGCAGCAGUGGGGGAUAUUGCACAAUGGGGGAAACCCUGAUGCAGCGACGCCGCGUGGAGGAAGAAGGUUUUCGGAUUGUAAACUCCUGUCGUUAGGGACGAUAAUGACGGUACCUAACAAGAAAGCACCGGCUAACUACGUGCCAGCAGCCGCGGUAAAACGUAGGGUGCAAGCGUUGUCCGGAAUUACUGGGUGUAAAGGGAGCGCAGGCGGACCGGCAAGUUGGAAGGGAAAACUAUGGGCUCAACCCAUAAUUGCUUUCAAAACUGCUGCCCUUGAGUAGUGCAGAGGUAGGUGGAAUUCCCCGUGUAGCGGUGGAAUGCGUAGAUAUCGGGAGGAACACCAGUGGCGAAGGCGACCUAUUGGGCACCACUGACGCUGAGGCUCGAAAGUAUGGGUAGCAAACAGGAUUAGAUACCCUGGUAGUCCAUGCCGUAAACGAUGAUUACUAGGUGUUGGAGGAUUGACCCCUUCAGUGCCGCAGUUAACACAAUAAGUAAUCCACCUGGGGAGUACGACCGCAAGGUUGAAACUCAAAGGAAUUGACGGGGGCCCGCACAAGCAGUGGAGUAUGUGGUUUAAUUCGAAGCAACGCGAAGAACCUUACCAGGUCUUGACAUCCGAUGCAUAGUGCAGAGAUGCAUGAAGUCCUUCGGGACAUCGAGACAGGUGGUGCAUGGUUGUCGUCAGCUCGUGUCGUGAGAUGUUGGGUUAAGUCCCGCAACGAGCGCAACCCUUAUUGCCAGUUACUACGCAAGAGGACUCUGGCGAGACUGCCGUUGACAAAACGGAGGAAGGUGGGGAUGACGUCAAAUCAUCAUGCCCUUUAUGACCUGGGCUACACACGUACUACAAUGGCGUUUAACAAAGAGAAGCAAGACCGCGAGGUGGAGCAAAACUCAAAAACAACGUCUCAGUUCAGAUUGCAGGCUGCAACUCGCCUGCAUGAAGUCGGAAUUGCUAGUAAUCGCGGAUCAGCAUGCCGCGGUGAAUACGUUCCCGGGCCUUGUACACACCGCCC
rnacentral:rRNA from 1 species